GAUGAACGCUGGCGGCGUGCCUAAUACAUGCAAGUCGAGCGAACGGACGAGAAGCUUGCUUCUCUGAUGUUAGCGGCGGACGGGUGAGUAACACGUGGAUAACCUACCUAUUAGACUGGGAUAACUUCGGGAAACCGUAGCUAAUACCGGAUAAUAUUUUGAACCGCAUGGUUCAAAAGUGAAAGACGGUCUUGCUGUCACUUAUAGAUGGAUCCGCGCUGCAUUAGCUAGUUGGUAAGGUAACGGCUUACCAAGGCAACGAUGCAUAGCCGACCUGAGAGGGUGAUCGGCCACACUGGAACUGAGACACGGUCCAGACUCCUACGGGAGGCAGCAGUAGGGAAUCUUCCGCAAUGGGCGAAAGCCUGACGGAGCAACGCCGCGUGAGUGAUGAAGGUCUUCGGAUCGUAAAACUCUGUUAUUAGGGAAGAACAUAUGUGUAAGUAACUGUGCACAUCUUGACGGUACCUAAUCAGAAAGCCACGGCUAACUACGUG
rnacentral:rRNA from 1 species